rnacentral:rRNA from 1 species
UACGGAGGGAGCUAGCGUUGUUCGGAAUUACUGGGCGUAAAGCGCACGUAGGCGGCUUUGUAAGUUAGAGGUGAAAGCCCGGGGCUCAACUCCGGAACUGCCUUUAAGACUGCAUCGCUUGAAUCCAGGAGAGGUGAGUGGAAUUCCGAGUGUAGAGGUGAAAUUCGUAGAUAUUAGGAAGAACACCAGUGGCGAAGGCGGCUCACUGGUCCGGUACUGACGCUGAGGUGCGAAAGCGUGGGAGCAAACAGG